rnacentral:rRNA from 1 species
UGCGUAGGCGGGCAGGUAAGUCAGUGGUGAAAUCCCCGAGCUUAACUUGGGAACUGCCAUUGAUACUAUCUGUCUUGAAUGUUGUGGAGGUCAGCGGAAUAUGUCAUGUAGCGGUGAAAUGCUUAGAUAUGACAUAGAACACCGAUUGCGAAGGCAGCUGGCUACACAAAUAUUGACGCUGAGGCACGAAAGCGUGGGGAUCAAACA